rnacentral:lncRNA from 1 species
GUUUUCACUAUGCAGAUGAGAGACCUGGAGGAGACUUCAUGAUUUUAUUCAUCCCCCAAGAUUUCCUCAGGACUGGUACCAUUUUCCAUCACUGUCUUCUGCCGUCAGCAACAUGUGAGCUUUCUCCACAGGGAGAAGAAGGAAACUGCAUUGAAAGACACAGGUGAUUCACAACUGAAAUGAAAAUCAAAACGCUCAAGGAAGCUGGUUGAAAAUCAGAAUGAACGAAGAAAAGAAAGACCAAACUUUUUUCUCGUUUUCCCAAACUUUGAACUAAGUUUACGCAUUU